CAAGCAUCUUGUGAAAUCCCACGGCUCAACCGUGGAACUGCAGGGUGAACUGCUGGGCUUGAGGCAGGUAGGGGCUGAUGGAACCAUGAGUGGAGCGGUGAAAUGCGUAGAUAUUCAUGGGAACGCCGAUGGGGAAGCCGAUCAGCUGGGCCUGUCCUGACGCUCAGGCACGAAAGCGUGGGGAGCAAACAGGAUUAGAUACCCUGGUAG
rnacentral:rRNA from 1 species